rnacentral:rRNA from 1 species
AUUGAACGCUGGCGGCAGGCCUAACACAUGCAAGUCGAACGAGUGGCGGACGGGUGAGUAAUGUCUGGGAAACUGCACGAUGGGGGGGGAUAACUACUGGAAACGGUAGCUAAUACCGCAUAACAUAGGAAGUGCCAAGAUGGGAUUAGCUAGUAGGUGGGGUAAUGGCUCACCUAGGCGACGAUCCCUAGCUGGGCGGAGAGGAUGACCAGCCACACUGGAACUGAGAUACGGGCCAGCCUCCUACGUGAGGCAGCAGUGGUGAAUAUUGCACAAUGGGCGCAAGCCUGAUGCAGCCAUGCCGCGUGUAUGAAGAAGGCCUUCGGGUUGUAAAGUACUUUCAGCGAGGAGGCGUUACUCGCAGAAGAAGCACCGGCUAACUCCGUGCCAGCAGCCGCGGUAAUAC